UGCGCGAGAGCCAGCAGAAGCAGGUGCAGGACCGCAUCGCCACCUUCGAGGAGGGCCGGCGGCUCCAGGAGGAGGCCCAGAAGCGGCGUGAGCGCAUUGAUGACAUCAAGAAGAAAAAGCUCCAAGAGCUGAGAGCCACCGGCCUCCCUGAGAAGUACUGCAUUGAAGCGGAGCGCAAAGCCAACCUCCUGCCAGCCGCCUCUGUGAAGUGAGGGGUGCCUCUGCGUCCCCCGGGACCCCUGCAGGGACAGGGGACUAGCUCUGCCCAGUCGCUGGGCGUCUGUGACUGCCGCUAGCCUAGACUUUUUAUAGGUACAGAUUAAAUUUAUUCUGCUUCUUUAAG